UACGGAGGGUCCAAGCGUUAUCCGGAUUCACUGGGUUUAAAGGGUGCGUAGGCGGUUUGAUAAGUCGGUGAUGAAAGCCCGCAGCUUAACUGCGGAAUUGCCAUUGAAACUGUCAGGCUUGAGUAUAGUUGAGGCAGGCGGAAUGUAGCAUGUAGCGGUGAAAUGCUUAGAUAUGCUACAGAACACCGAUUGCGUAGGCAGCUUGCUAAACUAAUACUGACGCUGAGGCACGAAAGCGUGGGGAGCGAACAGG
rnacentral:misc_RNA from 1 species